rnacentral:lncRNA from 1 species
UGUACAUGCCACAUUACCAAGGAAAAUAUACAUCACCAAAAGUUUGCUGAAGUCGGGUCUGGUUUUGGAUGCUGGAUCAGUACUUGACCUCUACAACCUGCGCACGGAAGCAACCGUACGCUGAGUACGCAUAUACUCAGUGGUAUCACUAUAAUUCAAUUUAUAAUUAAAUGCAUUAAAUCACACACAUUGUAAUGGCCUAAAUUUGAGGUUAUCGGAACAGUGGUUUCGGGACCACAAAUCCGAUGAGAAAAAUUUUAUUUUUCUUAUAUUUUUAUGGUCUACAAUUUCACAAAAUGAUUUUGUGAAAAUUUCGUUCGAAAAUUUCGACGUUUGGGCACUCAAUUUAGUCAAAAGGACUAAAUUGUAAAAAGUGCAAAAGUUGAGUUCUACAUGUUAGAGGUGUCCAAUUGUUAUGAAACUUUAAAUUGGAGGUCCUUAUAUGGUAAUUAUACCAUUGGUAACUUGGUAGACAAAAAUGGACAUGAGAUAAGUGAAAUAGAAAAUUUUUAAGUUAGGGGCAAUUUGGUAAUCUAGUAAUUAAAAUGAAUUAAAAGGGAAAAAGAUGGCAAAAAUCAUCAUCUUCUUCAUUAGGACGAAAUCAGCAAGGGGGGAAGCCACAGUUAGGGUUUUCAAGCUUCCAAGCUCCAUAGUAAGUGAUCCCAAGUCCCGUUUUUAAUGUUUUUUACGUUUUUGGAGUCCCGGUAGCUUAAUUUAGCUUAUUCUAGCAAUAAUUUAACCUAGGGUUUAUAUUUGGAAAAAUACCCAUAGGUGAAAAGUGUUUAUUUUGAUGUUUUAUGAUAGAAUAUGAAGCUAGAAAUUAUGUUAAACAACUUUUGCUAAGCGAUUUUAAGUGAAAACGAGUAAAACGACAUAAUCGGUAAAAAUACCUAAUGUUCAUAAGUACAUGUUAGAGUGGGAAUUUGAUGUUGCCAUAGAAGGGAAAAAUGUUCAGAAUGUUAUAAAACAUAAGAAUAAGAGAUGAAGUUUAAUUUCCGAGCCUUGGGGCAAAAAUGUAAUUAUGUAAAAGUUUAGGGGCAAAUUAUAAUUUUGAAAAAGUUAGAGUCGAGGGCUGUUUUGAUGAAUGUGAUUAUUAAAUAAGUUAAAUUUACUAUUUUAGAUCAAGAAGUACGAAACUCGAGGUUAGACAAAGGGAAGAAUAAAGUUGAAGACUAAGUUGGUGAAUUUGGCUAUAAUUGGUACCGAGGUAAGUUUACGGUAAAUAAAUGCAAUAUUUCAAUAUUUAUUAUUAAUGCUGUUAAUUUCCAGCAAUUAUGAAUUUAUUUGAUGAUGAUCCAAAGCAUGAAAUGAUAGAGAAUUAAAAUUUAAAAGUCCCCGUUGAUACAUAAGGAUGGUACUGGAUACGAAUGUCAUGACAUUUGGGUAAAGAGAUCCCAUGUAAGACCAUGUCUGGGACAUGGCAUUGGCAUCCUUAAGAUCAUGAGAGGUCCCAUGUAAGACCAUGUCUGGGACAUGGCGUUGGCACCGAGAUGAGAGGUCCCAUGUAAGACCAUGUCUGGGUCAUGGCAUUGGCACCGAGAUGAGAGGUCCCCUAUAAGACCAUGUCUGGGACAUGGCAUGGGCACCAACAUGAGAACAUCCCAUGUAAGACCAUGUCUGGGACAUGGCUUUGGCAUGUUAUUAUCAGAAGAGACCCGAGUAUCCUUAUUAUUCCAAUGUAGCUCAACGGGCUUGUAAACGAAUCAUAUUCAUGAAAGUUCAGUUUAAAGCAUAAAUGGCAAGCUCAGGUAAGUUGUAAGACUUAAGAACUUAUUAUACUAUCAAUUGAUGUUCAACGAUGCAGCAAGAGUUGAGUAAGUUAUGCACACAAGUAUUCUAAGUAAAUAAGUAAGAGAACUAGUAUGAGAUUAACUAAAGAGUAAACUAGAGAUAUAGUCACUUGAGUUUAAUUAUUUGUGUGUAAUGUUGUUAUUUAUUUGCUAGUAAACUUACUAAGCUUUAUGCUUAAUUCUUUUAUUUCUCUUUCUCUUAUAGUAUUGCAAAGCUACUUCAAGGAUCCUAAAGAAGUCGGAGAUCGUCCACACUAUCAACCACAACUGCUCGGUAUUUUAUGUCAAAACACGUUUGAGUUAUGGCAUGUAUAGGGAUUUAGUUAUUUUGUAUGUUUGUAAUGAUGAUUUUGCUAAUAAGUGAUGUGUAAGUAUUUGAUGAUGUAUGGUCAUUAAAAUGGUUAAGGAUGAAGGUGUUUGUUGUUAUGAAAGAUUAGGUGAUAAAUUAUGCAUGGAAAUCAUGAAAGGAUAAAAUUUGCAAAGAAACAAAUACCAAACAGCACAGUGACGUGAAUUUGNNNNNNNNNNNNNNNNNNNNNNNNNNNNNNNNNNNNNNNNNNNNNNNNNNNNNNNNNNNNNNNNNNNNNNNNNNNNNNNNNNNNNNNNNNNNNNNNNNNNNNNNNNNNNNNNNNNNNNNNNNNNNNNNNNNNNNNNNNNNNNNNNNNNNNNNNNNNNNNNNAGUCCCCUGUUCUGAGUUUAGAAAAAUAAUUACAAAUUGUACAAAAAUGGGUUAUGAGUUGAAAUUUACAUGCUUAGAUUCCCUUAAUGAGUCUAUUUUCUGUAGGAACAAGUGGGAAUAGCAUAUGAAAAUCCUAUAACAAGAAAAGUUAUUUUUAGUAACAAGAGGUCAGAAUAGUUGAAUGGUGAAACAGGGGAGACUUUAACUAAUAAACUGUACUAAUUGGAUGAACCAAAAAUUUUAAAAAUUUUAUGGUAGGAAGAUAUAUGAGUCUAGUUUCAUGGAAAAUUUACGGAGUUAAAUUUUGAGUUCCGUAGCUCAAGUUAUAAUUAAUUUAGUGACCGCUGCGCAAUUGGACAGCUUUGCUGUAAAUAGUGAAAAUAAUUUGCAAAAGUAAUUUUUUAUGCUCCGAAUUAGUAAGAUAAGUUAAGUAAUGCCUCGUGCUCGACUCCGGAAACGGCCUCGGGUAAGGGGUGUUACACACAUACUUUUCAUCACAAUUAUCACUACUAAUAAACAAUUCAAUCUUUAAUAUUAGCAAUUAAUUAUAUAUAAAUAUCAUUCUUUUUUUUUUAUCUUUCUUUAUUUCAAAUUUCACUCUUCACAUAUAAUAUAUCAUUCGAGAUUAGUUUUAUCAGUAAAUUUAUUUCAUUUAUCCCUAUUAACUUGGCUCGGACUCGGCGGAUACACGGAUUCCAACCAAACACACCAGUAAACAGUAAUCAGUAACGGUAACAGUAACAGUAAAAGUAACAGUAUUCAACACACAAAGUGCUGAAUCUGUAACAGUAUUUCGACACACAAAGUGCCGAAUUGGUAACAGUAACAGUAAUCGGCACAUAAGUGCCUAAUCAGUAAGCCGGCAAAUACACCGUACUCUUCCAUAUCCUAUGGCAUGCCAACUAUAUCCGACUAGCCCGACUAGUUAAUAGGGUAUUUAAUUCACUUUCAGUACAAUUUUUCAUCUUAGUUCAGUAUCAAUUAUAAAUUCCUUAUUUCAAUCAGUUUCACAGUAUUGCAGUAAUCACUACUACAGUAAUUUCACAAUUCAAUACAUUAUACGUAACAAAUUUUCAGUAUUUUCACAAUUGACGCAGUACUCAAACAAUAUCCAGUAUUUCAUAAUUUAAUUCAAUAUCGGUUUCAAUCCCAUUAUCACAUUGUAAAUUUAUCAUUUAUUAAACACUUACCUUAAAAUACUUACCACACAUAAUUAGCAAAUUAAACAUUUAAUAAUAAUAAAGUUUGAAUUAUAGUGAUACAAACCGUAAUUCCCGUGUCUAUUCCUAGUCCACUUUUUCUUUUCCUUCCCUCGUGGAUGCCUCGGGUGCGAUAUUAGCAAGUUAAAUUCCAAGCUUUAAAAACCCUAUUUUCCCUUUUUCUUUCUUUUUCUUCUUUCUCCCCUGUUUCUCCUCUGUUUGGUCUCUUUCUCUGUUUCUUUGUUCUUUCUAUUCUGUUUCUUUUCUUUUGCUUUGUUUUU